rnacentral:lncRNA from 1 species
GGUCUGGUAAGUAUAUUGAUCAAUGGUAGAAAGAGCUUGAGAUAGGUCCAAUUGUCUAGAAAUUAACUGCACAUCUUCAAGGAACUUCUUUGAUUCAUCAGGCUGAGUAGCCUUUUUAUAGAUAUCUUUUUGGAGUUCAGAAUUUAAAACCUCUUGUGCCUUUUUCUAAUAGUCAAGUCUUUUGAAUUUAAUCAUUGUUGGCAUCUCUGGUAUUUCACAAAGAUUAUAG